rnacentral:rRNA from 1 species
AUUGAACGCUGGCGGCAGGCCUAACACAUGCAAGUCGAGCGAGCGGCGGACGGGUGAGUAAUGUCUGGGAAUUGCCCAGUCGAGGGGGCUAAAAGUUGGAAACGACUGCUAAAACCGCAUACGAUUGGAUUGCCCAGGUGGGAUUAGCUAGUUGGUGAGGUAAUGGCUCACCAAGGCGAAGAUCCCUAGCGGGUCUGAGAGGAUGAUCAGCAACACUGGAACUGAGAAACGGUCCAGACUCCUACGGGAGGCAGAAGUGGGGAAUAUUGGACAAGGGGGGAAACCCUGAUGCAGCCAGGCCGGGUGGGUGAAGAAGGCCUUGGGUUUGUAAAGCACUUUCAGCGAGGAGGCGUUACUCGCAGAAGAAGCACCGGCUAACUCCGUGCCAGCAGCCGCGGUAAUUC